ACCUGAUCAAUACCUUAAAGAGCCUAAAGAGCUGUCAGGCCUGGAUUAUUGUUGUUGUUGGUGUUGUGGUUGUCCAGGCCAUGUGGCCCGUGUCACUUUGGAGACAACAAUCAGGGAAUGUGUGUGGAUUCCAUGAGACACCCCACUAAUGAACACCUGCAGGCUGCAAAGGAAAUCACCGAGCACAGAGACAGACAAGUGGAUCUUUAAAGGAGUCCCCAAAGUCAUUAGCAGGCUCGGAGCACCAAAAGAGCCCUUGGAUGGAUGGGUAUGAGGAAAAGCAGCAGAGAGAAGCUUUCCCUCUCUCCACGGAGCUGCUGGUGGUUCAGGGAGGUGCAGAACAGCCCCUCCCAUGGAAUCCACUGCUCCAGCCCGAGCCCUCCCUGUGCCUCAGGCAAGUCCCAUUUCUGCUCCAAAUUCCCUACCGUUCUGACAUUUCAGAAAACUAGAAUUCAUUCAGCUUUUGGAUUCAUGCAGUGAGUUUUGAGUGCUGUGUGUACAAAACACAGCAAGACCCUCUUGCCCGUCACAGUCUGAGUGUGAGGCUGCCCUGCCUGUGAUUUCAACCUGCCCAGAUGUGUCCAGCUGUGUGCAGCUGUUCCUGGGAUGGCCUUUCAGAGAAUCACAGAGCCACAGAAUGGUUUGGGUGGGAAGGGACCUUAAAGACACCCAAUUCCAGCCCUUCCAUGGGCAGGGACACCUCCCACUGUCCCAGCUGCUCCAACUCCACCCAGCCUGGCCUUUGGUGCCAAAUCCUGGGGCACAUUCUCGGGACAGCCUUUAAACACUCUUCUCCAAAGCCCAUCAGCACAAGUUGUCCUGAAAAUGUUACCUGAGUGUUCUGGAAUCUCAGAGUUCCCUCCAGCUCAGCUCUGCCAGGCUGUGCAAGUCAGCCCCUGGAGAGCUUUUGAGUUAUUUUGUGUAAACACUUUCAAUCUCCAGAUCUUGGCAAUUGGUGCUUUAUUUAUUUAAUGUCUCCUCCCUACACCUUGGAACAGCAUUUUGCUUACACAAGUCCCAAAGCAGAAGAGGGAAAAAUCAUUCCAAAGGUGCUGUGUAACAGCUCCUUCCUGUCCAUUUAGGCAAUUUAUAGUGAAACCAGAUAGCUCUGAGUAGACAAAUCCAUUCCCUCAAUAGUUUAUAUCCCAUAAUACUUUCUUCCUCUCAUAAAUUUAACUUACAUAUGAGAAAUCACACCAAUUCUCCAAAAACCCUGUGAAUUUCAUUGGUGGGAGAAGAGUGAUUUAAGCACAACAGGAAAGGAGAAGAGAAGAGGAAGAGAAGAGAAGAGAAGAGAAGAGAAGAGGAAGAGAAGAGAAGAGAAGAGAAGAGAAGAGAAGAGAAGAGAAGAGAAGAGAAGAGAAGAGAAGAGAAGAGAAGAGAAGAGAAGAGAAGAGAAGAGAAGAGAAGAGAAGAGAAGAGAAGAGAAGAGAAGAGAAGAGAAGAGAAGAGAAGAGAAGAGAAGAGAAGCAGCAAUGUCCAGCUCCACCCCAGUCCCUCCCUUGGCAAAGGGCUCUGGGCAGCACAGCCCAACACAUUCUGUAGGUGUGAAGGGGCACAGCCUGCUCUGAGAGCACCUCGUGGGCAGGAGGGAACAAUUCUGGGGAGAAAUGGGAGCUAAAUCAGUGAAUUUAUCUGACCAGAAGGUUUUUUUGUGAGAGAAACACAAUGUACAGAGUGGAGAGCUUGGGAAUUGGGAUGGGGCUUUGCCAGGCAGGGAAGGGAUGCCCAGAGAGAGGAGCGGAACCCGGAGCAGAGCUGUUCCUACAAGGCUGCUGCAGAUGAACCCAAGGGAAGGAGGCUCCUAGCUGGAAUAAAUAAUCUGGGCAUGGAGUCAAGAGCCCAUCAGGUGAAACCUUUGAAUGAAAUGCAGAUCACAGAAUCCCAGGAGGGUUUGGGUUGGAGGGGACAAUAAAAAUUAUCCAGUGCCACCCCUGCCAUGGCAGGGACACCUCCCACUGUCCCAGGGUCACCUUCCACUGUGCCAGGGACAUCUCCCACUGCCCCAGGGACACCUUCCACUGUCCAGCCCCGUGUCCAGCCUGGCCUUGGGCACUGCCAGGGAUCCAGGGGCAGCCCCAGCUGCUCUGGGCACCUGUGCCAGGGCCUGCCCACCAUCACAGGGAGGAAUUUAACCCAAAUCUCCCAUCUCAAUCUGCCUUCCUUCAGCCCAAAGAUGCUUCCCUUGGUCCUGUCCCUCCAUCCCUGGUGCGAAGUCCCUCAGCAGCCUGCUCUGAAGGAAUAUUUGUGAGAUAUCCUUGCAGAGCAGCUGCAGAGUCACAGGGAGAGUUUGAGUGCAAGAUUUCAGGCUGAGGAGCCGCU